UACGAAGGGGGCUAGCGUUGUUCGGAAUUACUGGGCGUAAAGAGCGCGCAGGCGGUCGUUCAAGUCGAGUGUGAAAGCCCCCGGCUCAACUGGGGAGGGUCAUUCGAUACUGAUCGACUUGAAGGCAGGAGAGGGAAGUGGAAUUCCCGGUGUAGUGGUGAAAUGCGUAGAUAUCGGGAGGAACACCAGUGGCGAAGGCGACUUCCUGGCCUGUUCUUGACGCUGAGGCGCGAAAGCUAGGGGAGCAAACGGG
rnacentral:rRNA from 1 species